rnacentral:pre_miRNA from 1 species
ACACUAUGGACUUGAUCCAGAGCCCACUGAAGUCAGUUGGAAGAUUUUCCAUUGACUUCCCUGGGCUUUGGAUCAGGCCCUAAGU